CAGAUACCCCAGACUCAGCCCAACGCCAUGCUCACCAACCACCAGCAAACUGUGCCCACCACCAGUGCCCAGCCCAGUACACUGAAAACCAGCGCGCAGUCCCAGCAGGCAGCUCCUACAGCAGACCUACACCUCUGCAGUAAAAACUCCAGUCCCCACUAGCGCUACAGACCUGGGCAAAAUCAAACAACUACUCAGCCUCAUAUGCAACAGACUGCUAAGCUAAGCGACGUUCAUAAUUCAUAAGUCAAUAAAUGGCAUACACACUAUAUACAAUUGUACUCAAAUAUCUUGUAAAUGGUCUGUUAAUCUAUACACAGUUUUUCUUUCAUUGAUAUAAGUUUGUCUCUUUUAAAGCCAGUGGUGGACGAAGUACACAAAUCAUGUACUUGAGUUAAAGCAGAGAUAUUCAAGGUAAAAUAUUACUCCAGUAAAAGUAAAAGUACUAAAAGAUUUCGUAUGGCUCUCAUGUACUAUUGCCAUUUUUAUAACAAGACUCUUGCUUCAUUAACUCAUUUCAGGUGAAAAUACUCCAGUGUCACUCUUGGUAGACCAAUCUUUUAAUAGAAUGCCAUUAAUUAGUCUGACACUGAUGUCUAUUAAAAUUAUUAUAAGCACAAAACACUGCAAACAAUUUCCAUUAGGUAGAACGGAGUGGUUCUGAAAUCUGCAAACAAGCAAAGUUUGAGUUUAAGAUUUAUUUAUUUGCAACAGUUUAAGACUUAUUUAUUAUUUGCAACUUUAUUCCAAGAUUAAGUUUAAUAAAAACUUGCUUUAAACACAGGUUCACAAAUGAGUUUUCCUUUUGUCAUGACUCCCUUUAGAGCUGAACUCUCUUUGGACUCAAUCUCCCAGAAUCCCCUGGGAGAUCACGUGACUCCAACCUCAAUCUCAUGCUCCAAUCAGCACUCCAGUUCUCCAGAGUACUGAUCAGUUACACCUGUUCUUCUCUGAUUAGUUUAGUUUAAAGCCAGGGUUUGUAGCUAGUCUCAACAGUAUUGCUUCUUUUCACAGAGCUAUUGAGUAUUAUUUCUGACUGUUUAUUAGGAGUAACUCAUUCUCUGGAGUCCUUAGCUCACCAACAGGCGGAACAACAAACCCAGCUAGCACUCCUGGUUAAUAGUGUGAAGGAUCUCACCACCCAACUUCAGAGCCUCAACACCGCAGAGCCAGUGGCUAGUCCUGUUAAUCCCUCAAGUACAACUAUGAACUCGAGUGCUGUUUUUCCAGUCAGUAAACCAGACCCUAGGACGAGGCUACACUGGACAUCACACCAUCCCAUCUGGAGGAGAUAGAUGGAACACCUGCGUUUACUGUCUGUAGGGUGCUGGACUCCUGGUGACGUGGAGGUGUACUCCAGUACCUCAUGGAUUGGGAGGGAUAUGGCCCUGAGGAGCAGUGUUGACUGUCUUUGGACUCAACCACCCAGAAUCCCCUGGGAGAUCAUAUGAAUCCAGCCUCACUCUCACACUCCAAUGAGCGCUCCAGUUCCUGAUUAGUUUAGUUUAAAGCCCAGGCUUGUAGAUAGUCUCAUUGUGAGGUAUUGCUUCUUUCACAGAGCUACUGAGCAUUAUUCCUGACUGUUUAUUCCAGUUCUGUUUUGCCUUGUUUUUGACCUACCUUUUGCCUGAUCCCUUUUGGACUUUUUGCCUGGUUAUGUUUGUGUUUGUGUAUCCUGUCUUUUCUGGAUUUGACCAUUGCCUGUGACCUGACUACGAUUGUGGAUUCUGUUUGCACAAGUAAAUCCUCUCAUUCACCUUUUAUCUGCUAGCAUCUGUCAUUCUGUCGUGUUACACCUUCACUAUAGUGCAUCUGUAUGUCUCUGUUCAUAAACAAAGUAGCAAAAACAAAUGAAAAAAGACAGACGUCAGUCACAACUGCAUAUGCAUACAUAUUUCUAUAUUGUGGUCUAUUUACAGUUAGGUUAGUUCAUCAUUUAUGUUGAAUAAACAGCCCCAAAAUUUAAUGCUGCUGCUCUGACGUUGAUGGGUGCUGCACUGGGUCGGUAUGACCAACAGGUCAAAAUAAACUCUAAAUACAGUGUGCGCUUUGCCCUGAUUGGUGCUCUUGCUUCAUGCUUAUAUCGUCUUGACAUGUAACUUUUUUUUUUUUUUUUUUUAUACACAAGUCAGAAGGAGUGAGAGAUUUCACAUAAUGUAGUGGAGUAAAAAGUUAGAUAUUUCACUUGGAAAUGUAGUGCAGUGAAAAUAGUCACCCAAAAUGGGGAAAACUUUGGUAAAAUGGUAAAGUACAG
ensembl:lncRNA